rnacentral:rRNA from 1 species
GAUGAACGCUGGCGGCGUGCUUAAUACAUGCAAGUCGAACGAAUGGGAUAUCUAGCUUGCUAGAUUGAAGUUAGUGGCGAACGGGUGAGUAAUACAUAGGCAAUCUGCCCUGAAGUGUGGGACAGCUAUUGGAAACGAUAAUUAAUACCGCAUAGGUAGUAAGAAGGCAUCUUCUUACUAUUAAAGAUGCGUUUGCAUCGCUGCAGGAUGAGCUUAUGGUGUAUUAGCUAGUUGGUGGGAUACAGCCCACCAAGGCUAUGAUACAUAGCUGGUCCUGAGAGGAUGAAC